AAACAUCAUUCUCCCAUUGUCAUCCAGUUACUGGACUCUACCAGUUCCUGUUACAGAAUUACCAGCCGCUGUCCACAGAGGAACCUGAUACACACAGUGUUUACCGAAUGGACCUCAAUGGUGAAAGCCAGCUGCUCCCCACAACGGACUACACGCCUCCACAGCAGGAAGUAGUUUAAGAGACACGGCGCCCCAACUCCCGUUUCAUCAUCGGCUUCCCCUCCCCUUUUUUCUUCUCUUUAUAAUAAGAAAAAGGGAGGAAUGUUGGUAUCAGCCCCAAACUCAGUGACGUCACAUCUAGGCGUCCCUACAUCAUUGCCAAGGCAACCACCAUACACUCCCAAAAUCCACCUGCCUACCUCACCUUUACCUGAGAAAAGGCUACAUAUAAAUAGGCAGAAUCCCCCUGACCUUGCUCUCUUUCCCCUCCACCUUUCCUCCCGAUUCUCUCCUCACCUUUGCCCUCCACCCUAAAUAAACCCCCUCCUCCUCAUGGAA